AGAAACAUAAAUUACUUGUAAAUCCACGAGUUUAAAGGAGAAAAUAAUUCGCCUCAUGCUAAAAAUGGCACUCUGUUUUGGUCUGAAUGAAGAUGUGCCUGGAUAGGAAGGGCGGCCCAAAAGAGGAGCUGAUAAAACGCCGCAGGGCUUCUGAGAAAUGUUAUCAAAUGUGUCAAGAUGCUCGACACGCCCUCUCUAAAGUGGUCAGCGUCUCAACUUAUUUACCGAAUGACAGAGGCAAGGAGGCCGACUGAAGAAUUUCCCACUUCCCCAAUGAAAGCAAUGAAAGUGCAGCGUCAGACGAUUGCAACGAAGGAGAGUGAGAGGAGUCAUGCAGUUUGAGCAGCACUCUGAAUAAGACAACGUCUGCCUUCCUGAUGACUCACCAAGACUUCACAGCAAGCCCACUGCUUUGUGAAAGAACCGGACCGUCCAUUUCCCCGCCACAAAGCUCGGGAUGAGGCGGCUCCGACCCUGCAGCUGGACGGUGGGAGCAAAGUGAGCAGCAUUGAACUCCCGAGAUAAGUCGCUCACCAGCUCAUUUUGAACUUUCGAGUCCUUUGGCUUUCAAGUGCGAUUACCUUUGUUGUGACACACAAUGCAGCUCCUGACAAGGUGACGACUUUAAUCAACCUUCAAAGGCAACGGCAUCAUGUCGGUACGAGACCCACGCCCACUCACAAAGUGAAUCCUUUGCUCAGAUGUGUUAGCCUUGCUUUGGAGCAGACGAGAGCUGAAAUGAAAUCUGCUCACCAUAUGACACUCCAAUGACUGCGGAUACUCUCAUCUGCACUGAUCAAGAGGAGAGCGAAAACCGCACUUUGGGCUCACCAGCCAAGUGUUCUGGCGUCUUAACACUCAGCUAAAAGCUCCCACCUGUGGAGCAAGUAUGUGGUAUCAUCGUUUUUCUCAUUACAUGAAAACAAUUUUGGAAAUUGUAGAUUUUUGCUAUAAAUUCAGAAGAAGAAAAAAGAGUAGCUGCAUGUAAAAGCGUAAGAUAGGUGCAUUAAUGGCUCAGAUCGCAAACUUAAACACGACCUUUUACAUAGAUAUGUGUAAAAUAUCACAGUUGGUCUUACCAAAUUGCAGAUAGAUUUUAACCAAUAAAAUGUCAAACUGAAUUAGUAUUUCUGAGCCAGACUUGACUAAGUUCAACAUCUAAAAGAUCUAUAAGUCAAUCAAAUUCACAUUUAAAACAUGCUUAACUAAAUUACACAUUUUUAACCAGCAGUUGCAAUUAUUUUGCUCAUCUGGUCUGUCCUCUGUUUUAAAAAGAAACAACUAAUAGGAAGUGGUUUGAAGACAUUAGACAUUACUGAAAGUGUCACAAAUCUUCUAAAUUUGUCCUAACAAAGUAACCUGAACAAUUGGCUUUGUCUUAACAACCAAAGCCAAGAUAGUCUGUUGGCAAAAACUGCCUCGGGGUUAAGAAUCUCACCUUGCUAGCAAGUUUGGCUUCAGCGUUAGCGCUGCAGCUAACUAAGGAAACAAAUGUAAAACUCAGAAAACAUAUCGCGCCAACAGGAACCUUCACCACUGCAAGUUCCUAACUUUUUUGAAGUUGCUAUCCAUUCAUAAUUCAACACAUGUAAACAUAGCAGCCUAGUCUUUCUCUGCUAAUCGCCACACGUGGUGCAGCACAAUAAAAGCUGAUUGAGCCACCAUCUUCAUUUGCGUUCUAAACAAAAAAGUUCUGGUUUUGUCAGAGUUGAAUAGUUAUUAAAUUGUACUUUUGCUGGUGCGUCAAUAAGAAAAAACAAAACCGUGGUUUAAAAAAUAAUCCAAAAGAAACUCGUGUGCAGAGUCGGUACGGACGACGACAGAUUGAAUUCACCACAUAUCGAACUUGGACGCAGUCUCAUAAAAAUCAUCAUAUAUUUCCAGAUGUUCUCACUGACAAGCUCUCAGUAAGGAUAUUCUGCGUGCUGUUUGAACAAAAAUAAAAAAAACCAGGUUAAAUCAUCCGCAUUAGACCGGUUUCUCUGCAGUGCAAGAGCCCUGGGAGAUGGAGACAGACCACGGUUACUCUCUGCAUCUAAUUCCACUCUUCAUAAUAUUUGUCUCCACAUGUCCUCUCUGGGAAAAGGCACUGUGGAUAUUUGUUACACCUCACACUGACAGUAAUGGGCCUCACUGAACAGAACCGGUGUUCUGCUCUCUCCGACCUCCCCUCUGGUCCCGAGAGCCGUGUCUCAAGAUGGGUGGGGGGCUCCCAGGUGUCCUCCCUCUCAGCUAAUUGAGGGCUAGUUAAGGCAAGUUGCUACGGUGGAGACUCUCACGUGUGAGAUGCUACUUUUAGUGUCCCUCUUGAGAAUACUGCUGUGGUUAGGAACAUUUAUAUUUAUAAUGUGUGCACAGAACGUGGCAAAAGCAAUUCUUUAGUUGUUGGAUUUUUGCUUAUUGGUUUUGGUUGGUCCACAUUUCUGCCUUCCAACAAACAUCUACUCACCGCGCGAUUCUGCCUGCCUCCUGCUUGCCUCCUGCUUGUGUUUGGGUCCUCUACUGCCCUAAGAACGACUUGGUUUGAAAAAGAGGACGAUGCUUCUAGAUGCACAUUGUAGAAUAUGUUAAAUGUGAAAGCUAAGUCCAUAAAAAGGGACCAAACUGAGCCCCGAUAACAAUUCGUUCAUUUUCCAGAAUGAAUGAAUUUCAAAAACAUGAGUUGAGUUUUGUCUUUAUUUCCACUCACACCCCUUCAUGUCAGCCUGUUUUAAUCAAUCCACAGCUGGUCUUGAUGGGUGUUUUUGAUUAUCAUCCUGUCAAAACACCCAUUUGUGUCACAUUUUAAGCAUCUACUUUAUUUGUGAUGAAAUAGAAGGAUUAGGAGCUUAGCCUCUUUCUUCUUUAUUCCAACAACCCGCUGGCAGCAAGCUCGCUCUGUUUAGCCCGCUUUAAUCAAACUCUGGUUUGUUUGCCUGGAAAGUCCGGUUCGCUUUGGGAGGUGUGAAUGCGCAAUAAAACUCUGAUGCAGAACAAAAAAAAGAAAAGAAUAUGUAAAAACUAACUUUCCUGCUACAAUUCUGGUGUUGUAGCAUGUCCCAGCUCAUGCCAGGCAUGCACUUUGCUUCUUGGAUUGUUCCUGAUCAUCUUGACCAAUUACAUUUCAUUUGACUCAGAUAAUGACCAACCAAAUUAGUUUUGAAACAGUUCAGUCAGGCUACUAUUAAGCCUUUGGAAAGCGCCCCCUUACCAAAUCCUUGAAGACUUUUGAUCAAUACUUAAAAGUCACAUUUCUGUGCCAGACCAAAAAAAAAUAAAAAAUUCUGCCGACUCCGCAGUAAGAAGUAGUCAAAUAUCCAGCCAGAAUAAGACCAGAAACUUUUUUGUGGACAAGUACGGUACUCAGAAUGAUUGCAUGUGCAUGUUCAAACUUUAAUAGACUAUAAAGUUAAACCUGUGCACCCAAAUCUUGUUUUCCCACACUGUUUAAGCUGUUUCAUAUAUGACUAAACUUUUCAUCACAACUACAAUGCCUGAGUUAGCUUCAGAGGAACGACGUUGUUUCUCCCAACCUGAGAAAGAUCAGCUGCUUGUGUACCUGUCGCAGCCAUUACAGUUCGUCGUCCGCAUGCAAGCAUUAGUUCAAGAGUUGACCAAAUGACUCUGGGCCUCCGCUGCCAGAGAUAAUGAAAGCAUUACAUUUCAGAUUUGGCUUUACCGCUUGUUUUGCGCAAGCUUUUUAGACAUAAUACACGUUUUAAAUGGGAACAUUGCAUACAGCUAAUUUGUUUUGGCUUCCCGCUGUGCCCCGUUCCGCCCCGUCUACAUUCUGUGCGGGGCUCUCACGUGCGUACAGAGUGUUCCCGGCGGAGUCUGCGAUGUUUUCCAAAGAGAUUAAGGAAUUUUUUUUAAAAAGCUGUAGAAUACGAUGUACUUCGUGUGCAGAGCGGGAAGCCGUCAGUAGCGGCAUCUUUUUGUCUGGAUGCAGGUCAGUGCGAGUCAGUAAGGAACUAUGAGGCUGAGCUCAUCCGCUGCAGGAGGAUGAAGACAGGACAGAUAAAAUAACAUAAAACAAAAACAAUAAAAAAAAUGAAAUCAGUGUAAGUCUGUGGCGGAGAAAUGGGGGGAAACAAUUCAUGUGUGUGUGUGUGUGUGUGUGUGUGUGUGUGUGUGUGUGUGUUUACUGCAGUCCUGGUUCAAUUAUCCUUGUCCAAAUUGAAUUUGUGAUGGGACCAUCUAACCUUGUCGGAGGUACUUGGCCUGAUCCAACACACAAUCCAUUGUUUUGUAGUCCACCUUAUUCUGAAUGUCCUGCAUUAGUUGAAUACAGCCCGCUGCCUUGGCAACCGCAGCCAUAAACACAUUAUCCAGACAAUGUCAUAUUUCUCUUCAAUAAUUGUUGCUGUAAGAGCAGAUUUGAUGUUAGUUUUCUGUCAGCCCUGCAAAUGGAAAUACCGCAAGAGUUCAUUGGCUGCCUAGGUUUAGAUUCAGUCAGAGUAACGUAAUGAGUGUGUGUUCAAUUUGCAACUAAUGUAUAUGGUUAGUUAUGAAACUAACCAUAUACAUUUUCUUUUCCGUGUUCACAUUUUUUGUUGACACCGCAGCCAAAAACUUCCAAUGUAUUUCAGUGGGAAUUUAUGUCAUAAAAGCAUUCAACGUAGCGCAUAGCUGUGAGUGAAAGGAAAAUAAAAGCUGAAUCUUACCAGAAGAGACAAAAACUGAGCCUGCAUGAAGAACAUAGUUUGAACAAAUCUCACCGUGGCAGUGGCAGUGUCAUGCUGUGGGAAACAGGAACAGUUAGGAACGAAGCUUAAUACAAGAUAAUCCUGGAAACAACCUGCAAAAGAUUUGGGAGUGGAGUGGAUAUCCACCUCUCAGCAGGAUAACGACCGUCACUGGAAGGGCCACAGUGGCCUAGUCCAAGGCCCUGCAACCUUCAGUUGAAGCAGCCAUUUUGCUCUCAGUCUAACUAAAUAAAACUGUGCUUAGGAUGGAAAAUGUUUGAUCAUCUUUUGGGGGAAAAAAAGGGUGCUUAUAAUUUUUUACUAAAUGCCUAUUAUAGAAAAUGUGUUCUAAAUUUCAAAGAACUGUUUUUUUUAUUUCUGUUUUUAGGUUUUAAACAAAGAAAGAUGCAAAAGAAAAAUUGCAACAAAGUAAAUGUAUA